rnacentral:rRNA from 1 species
CGAGUGAACCGGGAAGAGCUCAAAUUUGAAAUCUGGCGUGCUCAGUGCGUCCGAGUUGUAAUCUAUAGAGUCGUUUUCCGUGCCGGACUGUGUCCAAGUCCCUUGGAACAGGGUAUCAAAGAGGGUGAUAAUCCCGUACUUGACACAAUGACCGGUGCUCUGUGAUACGUCUUCUACGAGUCGAGUUGUUUGGGAAUGCAGCUCAAAAUGGGUGGUGAGUUCCAUCUAAAGCUAAAUAUUGGCGAGAGACCGAUAGCGAACAAGUACCGUGAGGGAAAGAUGAAAAGCACUUUGGAAAGAGAGUUAAACAGUACGUGAAAUUGUUAAAAGGGAAACGAUUGAAGUCAGUCGUGACUGAGAGGCUCAGCCGGUUCUGCCGGUGUAUUCCCCUCAGUCGGGUCAACAUCAGUUUUGUUCGGUGGAUAAGGGCAGUUGGAAGGUGGCACCCUCGGGUGUGUUAUAGCCAGCUGUCGCAUACAUCGGAUGAGACUGAGGAAUGCAGCUCGCCUUUAUGGCCGGGGUUCGCCCACGUUCGAGCUUAGG